ACAACGUUCGGACCGUCGAUCCACCUGCAACAUCACCCGCUCAGUGGAAGAUCUUCUUUUUGUCGU
rnacentral:pre_miRNA from 1 species